UAUCCGUAGGUGAACCUGCGGAAGGAUCAUUAUUGUAUAACCGAGGUGCGAGGGCUGUCGCUGACCCGAAAGGUCGUGCACGCCCGAGUGCCCUCACACACAUCCAUCUCACCCCUAUGUGCACCACCGCGUGGGUCCCCCCUUGGCUUGUUCGGAGGGGGGCUUACGUUUUCACACAAACUUUGUAUGCAGUGUAGAAUGUAUUUUUUGUUUUUGCGAUCACGCAAUCAAUACAACUUUCAACAACGGAUCUCUUGGCUCUCGCGUCGAUGAAGAACGCAGC
rnacentral:misc_RNA from 1 species